rnacentral:misc_RNA from 1 species
UUGUGGAGGAGGACGCCGAAGGUGGGGCUAAUGACUGGGGUGAAGUCGUAACAAGGUAGCCGUACCGGAAGGUGCGGCUGGAUCACCUCCUAACAGGGAGACAACAAAAUGUUUAAUAUUAUUAUUUUGUCACCUUAGGUCGAUCGGUAUCUCACAUUCUUAAUUUAUUAAGGAUUUCAAUUCCUAAGUUUUUCUAGGUCACACCCAUUAUUUUUCCUGGGCCAUUAGCUCAGGUGGUUAGAGCGCACCCCUGAUAAGGGUGAGGUCCCUGGUUCAAGUCCAGGAUGGCCCAUCUCUCUAUGUUGGGGGUAUAGCUCAGUUGGUAGAGCGCCUGCUUUGCAAGCAGGAUGUCAGCGGUUCGAGUCCGCUUACCUCCACUGAUUACCACCUCUUCCAUAAUCUGUAGAAAGGAAAUGUUUUGAGUUGUGAUCAAAUUCUGAACGAAUCUAGCUUCCUAAUGAAACCAUUAAGAUGCUGGACUCAUUGAAUUAAUUUCAUUGUUUUCAGAGAACCUUGACAACUGCAUAGAUUAUUUUUAAAGACAAUUAGCAUCUUUUAAUGAUGCAGAUUUAUUAUUUGUGUAAAUACACUAAUAACAAUUCUAUUAAGCUGAUGCUUCAAUUUUUGAAGUUAUUGGUCAAGCUACAA